rnacentral:rRNA from 1 species
UACGGGGGGGGCAAGCGUUGUUCGGAACUACUGGGCGUAAAGAGUGUGUAGGCGGUGCUCUAAGUUCGGUGUGAAAUCUCCCGGCUUAACUGGGAGGGUGCGCCGGAAACUGGAGUGCUUGAGCGCGGGAGAGGAAAGCGGAAUUCCUGGUGUAGCGGUGAAAUGCGUAGAUAUCAGGAGGAACACCUGUGGUGUAGACGGCUUUCUGGACCGUAGCUGACGCUGAGACACGAAAGCGUGGGUAGCAAACAGG